AUUGAACGCUGGCGGCAUGCUUUACACAUGCAAGUCGAACGGUAACAGGCCUUCGGGUGCUGACGAGUGGCGCACGGGUGAGUAAUGCAUCGGAACGUACCCGGAGGUGGGGGAUAACGCAGGGAAAGUUGUGCUAAUAACGAAUGGGAUCUAGGGCUGAAAGCGGGGGACCGAGCAGCAAUGUUUGGCCUCGCGCCUUUGGAGCGGCCGAUGUGGGAUUAGCUGGUUGGUGGGGUAAAGGCCUACCAGGCGGACGAUCCGUAGCUGGUCUGAGAGGACGACCAGCCACACUAGAACUUCGACACGGCCCAGACUCCUACGGGAGGCAGCAGUGGGGAAUUUUGGACAAUGGGCGCAAGCCUGAUCCAGCAAUGCCGAGUGCGGGAAGAAGGCCUUCGGGUUGUAAACCGCUUUUGGCAGGAACGAAACGGUGUCCGCUAAUACCGGGCGCUAAUGACGGUACCUGCAGAAUAAGCACCGGCUAACUACGUG
rnacentral:rRNA from 1 species